rnacentral:rRNA from 1 species
ACGUAGGGUGCAAGCGUUAAUCGGAAUUAUUGGGCGUAAAGAGCUCGUAGGUGGUUCGUCACGUCGGAUGUGAAAAUCUGGGGCUUAACCCCAGACCUGCAUUCGAUACGGGCGAGCUAGAGUGUGGUAGGGGAGACUGGAAUUCCUGGUGUAGCGGUGGAAUGCGCAGAUAUCAGGAGGAACACCAAUGGCGAAGGCAGGUCUCUGGGCCAUUACUGACACUGAGGAGCGAAAGCGUGGGGAGCGAACAGG